rnacentral:rRNA from 1 species
GACGAACGCUGGCGGCGCGCCUAACACAUGCAAGUCGAACGAGGUCUUUUAGAAAAGCUUGCUUUUCUGGCUGACCUAGUGGCGGACGGGUGAGUAACACGUGAGCAACCUGCCCUAAAGUGGGGGACAACACCUGGAAACGGGUGCUAAUACCGCAUAAUAUCCUGGAGUGGCAUCGCUUUGGGAUCAAAGGAUUUAUUCGCUUUGGGAUGGGCUCGCGCCCGAUUAGAUAGUUGGUGAGGUAACGGCUCACCAAGUCAACGAUCGGUAGCCGGACUGAGAGGUUGAUCGGCCACAUUGGGACUGAGACACGGCCCAGACUCCUGCGGGAGGCAGCAGUGGGGGAUAGUGCACAAUGGGGGAAACCCUGAUGCAGCGACGCCGCGUGAGUGAAGAAGGCCUUAGGGUUGUAAAGCACUUUCAGCGGGGAGGAAGGGUAUAGGCUUAAUACGUUUAUACAUUGACGUUACCCGCAGAAGAAGCACCGGCUAACUCCGUGCCAGCAGCCGCAGUAAUAC